rnacentral:rRNA from 1 species
AUGUCUCUCCGGUGGCUCCACAGAGUCCAACAGACAAGUGUGAUAGAUGUGCACAGUGCACAUGUCCCUCUUGUUCCGCCUAGGAGCGCUCCUGGAGAUGAGCCACUCCUCCAAAGACCGAUCAUGCGCAGGCAUCGAGUGCAACAACCGACAUCAGCGACAAUACAACAACUAAGGGUGGUUGAGUUGUGUGUGGAACGUCGACAGAUCCUUGCCCUGCUGCCAAUCGGGUUCGCGGUGUUCCUGGUCCACCUGGCCACCAUCCCCAUCACCGGCACCGGCAUCAACCCGGCGAGGAGCCUCGGCGCGGCCAUCAUCUACAACAGGGAGCACGCCUGGUCAGACCACUGGAUCUUAUGGGUCGGCCCCUUCAUCGGCGCCGCGCUGGCCGCCGUCUACCACCAGGGAAACGGCAGGGGGUUUUGUGCAAAAACUGCCAGCGCCGACCGGCCCAGCCACUUGGCAGCCAAUUGGCGAGCUCUGAUUGGUCUGGGACUAAAUCAUCACAUUGGAUGCAAGUUGGGAAGCCUCGUGGCCGCUGCAUCCACCGGAGCUCGCCCAGCAAGCUCCGAUCCUCCGAAUCGCCGGUACCAAUCAACACCUCCAAGAAGGGACGCGACGAUGACGACGCUGCUGCCAAGGGUUUCCCCCGGUACGAUGAGAGGAGAGAAGAAGGGUAGCCCUGACGCCCUCCAGGAAGGUCCGGCGGCACCCUCAAGCGCCACCGUGUCGGUGUCGGCCAAGCCAACAGGGAUUUCUCCCGAUCCCAACCUUUCACCUCUGGCACUCCGGAGCUCCCGACCAAACCGACCACCACCCAGCGCCAACCCGGACAUGAAGCUUACCAUGCUGUCUCACCACGGCACCGCGAAGCAUGGCCUGCAUAAUGAAGAAGAGGAGUCAGGACUAGGGCAGCAACACCGUCGGCAUGCGGGAGGGCCCCACCUCCACCGUCAAUAG